UGCCCUGAAAAUGCAAAGACUCCUGCUCCCAAUUUUUCCACAAAGAUUCGUGAUCCUUACUGGCCACUGGACGUCUGUGCUUUCGGUUGGGUUUGAGGACAAACUUUGGCCCCUAGCUCUGUGUCACUUUAAUGUGGGAUAUGUUCUCACUGGCUCCGUUGGCCAAAUGUUCUUGCGCCAUCCCCCACUGAGUCUCAUGACAUUUUAUCUGUUCUAGAAAUGACAGAAGAUGGGUCCCUCUGGGAUUCACGCUCCUCUGCUGGGAGUUUCACACCAUUCGCCAUGUCAACAUGAAGCAACAGCUGGGUUGAAGAGAGCCGAUAAAAAUAGCAGCAUCACACUGCAAGCAAGCUGCAUAGAAAAGAAGGGGAGUCACGUACUUAAUGCAGGGUGGCAUUGAUUUCUUGUCUUCCCAGUCCAGUGGUGUAUUUCUCGGACCAUCUACUUUUUCAGAAAGAGCAAAGUGAGCUGCUUGUCCAUAUGAGGAAAGAGACGCUAAGAGAAAUUGAGGAACUUUGCUGACCUGAUGUAACUAGAUGGGACUAGAAACCUUGGCUCGCGGACCACAGAGUUGACAUUACAGCCAUUCACAUGAGUUUGCAUUUGUCAUCUGAACCUUCUGGAUUUCUAUCAUGUCACUUGCUGCGGUCUCUUGUAUUUGUGGGAAUUAAAAUUAAAUUGUGAUGGUUUUUAUUGACUUCUUUUCCCAAACAUGUGCAACACCAAACAGAAAAUAAAAGAUCACAGAUGGGAC
rnacentral:lncRNA from 10 species